UAAGAAUGCUGCAAUGGAGAUACUCGGAGUAAAAUGUGCAAUGGAGCUCCCUAAUGAUGUUCAAAUGCUCUUCCAUCUUCUAUCAAAUUAUAAGGAUGGGGAUGAGAUCCUUAUUGAACAUCAUCCACGGCUGUUGACAGAGAAAGAGAAAAUAAGCCUCUUCAAUGACAUGUAUACACAUGUGUAAAUUCUGGGAAAGAAAGAUCAAGCAAAAGAUAUCAGAAUUAAACAACAUACCUUAUGGCAAUGGGGCUUGUAAAAUAAGAAUCCAGAGGAAUGCAUAUCUGGAUGCAAUCGACCGUUAAAAGAAUAGGAUGAGUUCCUACCAAGACAGCCAAGAUGGCAUCCUAUUGCUGCACCGUAACGCAAUUCAACACCUUCACAAGGACUACUGAGUAGUUGUGGUGCACGUAAAGGUAUAGGUUUAAUUUGAAGUUCAUCACGUAGAGCAUAUUGUUUCUACGACCUGUCCAGGAGCUACACUGGUCAAGCUCAUCAUGGUGAUGUGAAAUGUCAACCGAAGAAAAGAAAAUUACUGAAAAGAGCUACACUAGAAAGAAAGACAAAUGAUUUUGUGGCUAUUAAGAAUGAUGCAAUGGAGAUACUCGGAGUAAAAUGUGCAAUGCAGCUUCCUAAUGAUGUUCAAAUGCUCUUCCAUCUUCUAUCAAAUUAUAAGGAUGGGGAUGAGAUCCUUAUUGAAAAUCAUCCACGGCUGGUGACAGAGAAACAGAAAAUAAGCCUCAUCAAUGACAUGUAUACACAUGUGUAAAUUCUGGGAAAGAAAGAUCAAGCAAAAGACAUCAGAAUUAAACAACAUACCUUAUCGCAAUGGGGCUUGGAAAAUAAGAAUCCAGAGUAAUGCAUAUCUCGAUGCAAUCGACCGUCACAAGAAUAGGAUGAGUUCUACCAAGACAGCCAAGAUGGCAUCCUAUUGCUGCACCGUAAGGCAAUUCAACACCUUUCCAAGAACUACUCAGUGGUUGUGGUGCACGCAAAGGUGCAGGUUUAAUUUGAAGUUCAUCACGUAGAGCAUAUUAUUUCUACGACCUGUCCAGGAGCUACACUGGUCCAGCUCAUCAUGGUGAUGUGAAAUGUCAACCGAAGAAAAAGGAAAUUACUGAAAAGUGCUACACUAGAAAGAAAGGCAAAUGAUUUUGUGGCUAUUAAGAAUGCUGCAAUGGAGAUACUUGGAGUAAAAUGUGCAAUGGAGCUCCCUAAUGAUGUUCAAAUGCUCUUCCAUCUUCUAUCAAAUUAUAAGGAUGGGGAUGAGAUCCUUAUUGAACAUCAUCCAUGGCUGUUGACAGAGAAAGAGAAAAUAAGCCUCUUCAAUGACAUGUAUACACAUGUGUAAAUUCUGGGAAAGAAAGAUCAAGCAAAAGACAUCAGAAUUAAACAACAUACCUUAUGGCAAUGGGGCUUGGAAAAUAAGAAUCCACCGGAAUGCAUAUCUGGAUGCAAUCGACCGUCACAAGAAUAGGAUGAGUUCCUACCAAGACAGCCAAGAUGGCAUCCUAUUGCUGCACCGUAACGCAAUUCAAC
rnacentral:lncRNA from 1 species